rnacentral:rRNA from 1 species
GAUGAACGCUGACAGAAUGCUUAACACAUGCAAGUCGAUUCGAUUUACCUUCGGGUAUUGAGGAUGGCGGACGGGUGAGUAACGCGUAAGGAACUUGCCUCUUGGUCUGGGACAACUGUUGGAAACGACAGCUAAUACCGGAUAUUAUGAGAUUCUCGCAUGGGAAACUUAUGAAAGCUAUAUGCGCCAAGAGAGAGCCUUGCGUUCCAUUAGCUAGUUGGUGGGGUAACGGCCCACCAAGGCGACGAUGGAUAGCCGGCCUGAGAGGGUGAACGGCCACAAGGGGACUGAGACACGGCCCUUACUCCUACGGGAGGCAGCAGUGGGGAAUAUUGGACAAUGGGCCACAAGCCUGAUCCAGCAAUUCUGUGUGCACGAUGGAGGUCUUCGGAUUGUAAAGUGCUUUCAGUUGGGAAGAAGGAAGUGACGGUACCAACAGAAGAAGCGACGGCUAAAUACGUGCCAGCAGCCGCGGUAAUACGUAUGUCGCAAGCGUUAUCCGGAUUUAUUGGGCGUAAAGCGCGUCUAGGCGGAAAAAUAAGUCUGAUGUUAAAAUGCGGGGCUCAACUCCGUAUUGCGUUGGAAACUGUUUUUCUAGAGUACUGGAGAGGUGGGCGGAACUACAAGUGUAGAGGUGAAAUUCGUAGAUAUUUGUAGGAAUGCCGAUGGAGAANUCAGCUCACUGGACAGAUACUGACGCUAAAGCGCGAAAGCGUGGGGAGCAAAC